GAAACGUUGCGUGACAGACAAUAAGAACGUCUGCGUAGGAGUAGGUCAAGUAACUCAAUAUUCGACUGGGGAAAAAAGCGCGCCACUCAACGUAUUCGAUUCAAAGACUGUACAAGAAGAAGGCUUCAAAGCUAACGUUCAUAAUUUGCUGCAAAAAAACUGGGUUUCCAGGAGAAAUGGCUAAACCGAAGAACAAGUCCAAACCAGCUCAACGAAAGGGCGCGAAAACUAGUAGAGCAUCCGCUUCAGCCAAACCGAAACACGCCGCCAAACCUCUGAAAACAAAAAAAUCAAACGCACAAACAACUGAGGUAGUAAAACGCACCAUCACAACUACAACCGUGAAAAUUAGGAAGAAUUAAGCCACAAGAAGUCGGUAUUUGCCUAAACAAGUUGGGACGAAGAAACGACAGUUGGCCGUACGGAGUCCAUCGAUUCGUCUCUGAUCCAACUCUUCCAUCAACACAAAUACCCAUUGUAAGAGACCUUAUUUUCAAGGAAAUUUAAUAAAAAUGUAUGCUCAUAAAUAUAUACCUUGUACACAGAGUAGAAACUAAAUUCCUAAAGUUUAAGUUUGAGUAAGAAAUUAAAUAUUGUAUUGCUUGUUA